GACGAACGCUGGCGGCGUGCUUAACACAUGCAAGUCGAACGGUGAAGCGCCUUCCUUUUUGGUGGGUGUGGAUGAGUGGCGAACGGGUGAGUAACACGUGAGUAACCUGCCCCCUUCUUCUGGAUAACCGCAUGAAAGUGUGGCUAAUACGGGAUAUUCUGGGUCUGUCGCAUGAUGGGUCUGGGACAGAUAUUGUUUCGGUGGGGGAUGGGCUCGCGGCCUAUCAGCUUGUUGGUGGGGUGAUGGCCUACCAAGGCGGUGACGGGUAGCCGGCCUGAGAGGGUGGACGGUCACACUGGGACUGAGACACGGCCCAGACUCCUACGGGAGGCAGCAGUGGGGAAUAUUGGACAAUGGGCGCAAGGCUGAUGCAGCGACGCCGCGUGAGGGAUGGAGGCCGUCGGGUUGUGAACCUCUUUCGCCAGUGAAGCAUGCCUGCCUCGUUUGUGGGUGGGUUGACGGUAGCUGGAUAAGAAGCGCCGGCUAACUACGUG
rnacentral:rRNA from 1 species